rnacentral:rRNA from 1 species
GACGAACGCUGGCGGCGUGCCUAAUACAUGCAAGUAGAACGCACAGUUUAUACCGUAGCUUGCUACACCAUAGACUGUGAGUUGCGAACGGGUGAGUAACGCGUAGGUAACCUGCCUGGUAGCGGGGGAUAACUAUUGGAAACGAUAGCUAAUACCGCAUAAUAUUAAUUAUUGCAUGAUAAUUAAUUGAAAGGUGCAAUUGCACCACCACCAGAUGGACCUGCGUUGUAUUAGCUAGUAGGUGAGGUAACGGCUCACCUAGGCGACGAUACAUAGCCGACCUGAGAGGGUGAUCGGCCACACCGGGACUGAGACACGGCCCAGACUCCUACGGGAGGCAGCAGUAGGGAAUCUUCGGCAAUGGACGAAAGUCUGACCGAGCAACGCCGCGUGAGUGAAGAAGGUUUUCGGAUCGUAAAGCUCUGUUGUAAGAGAAGAACGGGUGUGAGAGUGGAAAGUUCACACUGUGACG